UUUAAAUUGAGAGUUUGAUCCUGGCUCAGGACGAACGCUGGCGGCGUGCCUAACACAUGCAAGUCGAGCGAA
rnacentral:rRNA from 1 species